rnacentral:rRNA from 1 species
UACGUAGGGUGCAAGCGUUGUCCGGAAUUAUUGGGCGUAAAGAGCUCGUAGGCGGUUUGUCGCGUCUGCUGUGAAAUCCCGAGGCUCAACCUCGGGCUUGCAGUGGGUACGGGCAGACUAGAGUGCGGUAGGGGAGACUGGAAUUCCUGGUGUAGCGGUGGAAUGCGCAGAUAUCAGGAGGAACACCGAUGGCGAAGGCAGGUCUCUGGGCCGCAACUGACGCCGAGGAGCGAAAGCAUGGGGAGCGAACAGG